rnacentral:rRNA from 2 species
GAAACGACUGCUAAGACUGGAUAGGAAGAUAAAAGGCAUCUUUUAUCUUUUUAAAGACCUAGUAAUAGGUAUGCUUUAGGAGGGGCUUGCGCCAUAUUAGUUAGUUGGUAGGGUAAUGGCCUACCAAGACGAUGAUGUGUAGCUGGACUGAGAGGUUGAACAGCCACAUUGGGACUGAGACACGGCCCAAACUCCUACGGGAGGCAGCAGUAGGGAAUUUUCGGCAAUGGAGGAAACUCUGACCGAGCAACGCCGCGUGAAUGACGAAGUACUUCGGUAUGUAAAGUUCUUUUAUCAAGGAAGAAAAGCAAAUGGCGAACCAUUUGUUUGCCGGUACUUGAUGAAUAAGCCCCGGCUAAUUAUGUGCCAGCAGCCGCGGUAAGACAUAAGGGGCAAGUGUUAUCCGGAAUUAUUGGGCGUAAAGGGUGCGUAGGCGGUCUAGUAAGUCAGUGGUGUAAUGGCAACGCUUAACGUUGUCCGGCUAUUGAAACUGCUAAACUUGAGUUAGAUAGAGGCGAGUGGAAUUCCAUGUGUAGCGGUAAAAUGCGUAAAUAUAUGGAGGAACACCAGAGGCGUAGGCGGCUCGCUGGGUCUUAACUGACGCUGAGGCACGAAAGCGUGGGGAGCAAACAGGAUUAGAUACCCUGGUAGUCCACGCCGUAAACGAUGAGUACUAAGUGUCGGGUUAAACCGGUACUGAAGUUAACACAUUAAGUACUCCGCCUGAGUAGUACGUACGCAAGUAUGAAACUUAAAGGAAUUGACGGGACUCCGCACAAGCGGUGGAUCAUGUUGUUUAAUUCGAAGAUACCCGAAAAACCUUACCAGGUCUUGACAUGUUUUUGCAAAAUGAUAGUAAUAUCGUGGAGGUUACCAGAAACACAGGUGGUGCAUGGUUGUCGUCAGCUCGUGUCGUGAGAUGUUAGGUUAAGUCCUAAAACGAGCGAAACCCUUAUCGUUAGUUGCCAGCACGUUAUGGUGGGGACUUUAACGAGACUGCCAAUGAUAAAUUGGAGGAAGGUGAGGAUCACGUCAAAUCAGCAUGCCCCUUAUGACCUGGGCUACAAACGUGAUACAAUGGCUGUUACAAAGGGUAGCUGAAACGCAAGUUCUUGGCCAAUCCCCAAAAACAGUCCCAGUCCGGAUUGAAGUCUGCAACUCGACUUCAUGAAGUUGGAAUCGCUAGUAAUCGCGAAUCAGCAUGUCGCGGUGAAUACGUUCUCGGGGUUUGUACACACCGCCCGUCA